rnacentral:lncRNA from 1 species
UGGGCUUGAUAUUUUUUCAUGCUCAUAGCUUGUCUGGGAUGUUGUGUGAUCGAAGGAUUGAAUUGCAUGGUAACUCAUCAUGGAAGGAUAGUUUUGAUAUUUUUAUCAAAUUUUAAAGCUUUCAAAUAGUCAUGACAUGUUGCUAGACAUCAAUCUUGACUUGUGAACUAAUCAAAAUAAAAAGAAUUUAAUUCAAAAAUUAAUUAAGAAGAGUCCUAGUUGAUUGAGACUCUUGAGCUGAUCUAAUCUAAUCUGAUUAGG